UACGUAGGGUGCAAGCGUUGUCCGGAAUUAUUGGGCGUAAAGAGCUCGUAGGCGGUUUUUCGCGUCGAAUGUGAAAACCCGGGGCUCAACCCCGGGCCUGCAUUCGAUACGGGCAGACUAGAGUUCGGUAGGGGAGUCUGGAAUUCCUGGUGUAGCGGUGAAAUGCGCAGAUAUCAGGAGGAACACCGGUGGCGAAGGCGGGACUCUGGACCGAUACUGACGCUGAGGAGCGAAAGCGUGGGGAGCAAACAGG
rnacentral:rRNA from 1 species